UUGACGGGGCCCGCACAAGCGGUGGAUUAUGUGGAUUAAUUCGAUGCAACGCGAAAAACCUUACCUGGCCUUGACAUGUACCGAAUUUACCAGAGAUGGUUUAGUGCUCGAAAGAGAACGGUAACACAGGUGCUGCAUGGCUGUCGUCAGCUCGUGUCGUGAGAUGUUGGGUUAAGUCCCGCAACGAGCGCAACCCUUGCCAUUAAUUGCCAUCAUUUAGUUGGGCACUUUAAUGGGACUGCCGGUGACAAACCGGAGGAAGGUGGGGAUGACGUCAAGUCCUCAUGGCCCUUAUGGCCAGGGCUUCACACGUAAUACAAUGGUCGGUACAGAGGGUCGCCAACCCGCGAGGGGGAGCCAAUCCCAGAAAGCCGAUCGUAGUCCGGAUUGUAGUCUGCAACUCGACUACAUGAAGUCGGAAUCGCUAGUAAUCGCGGAUCAGCAUGUCGCGGUGAAUACGUUCCCGGGCCUU
rnacentral:rRNA from 1 species